rnacentral:tRNA from 1 species
UUUUUUAUGGCUGAGUUUAAGUGAUAGAUUUUUAAUCUAUUUACGGGCGAUGGCCCUAUUGCGA